UGGUGGAGUGAUUUGUCUGCUUAAUUGCGUUAACGAACGAGACCUCGACCUGCUAAAUAGUUGGCAGUAUUCCAUUUGGGAUACGAGCUCAACUUCUUAGAGGGACUAUCGGUUCUUAGCCGAUGGAAGUUCGAGGCAAUAACA
rnacentral:rRNA from 1 species